rnacentral:lncRNA from 1 species
AAAUUUAAUCUUAGAUUAGGAUGUCACUUUUUGAGACGUUAUAUAUAAAGAUAAUUAUUUUUUAUGUGUUUUGUAUUUUUUUAUUAGGGUCCAUUUGUAAUAUUCAAACAAGACCUCCAAAUAGUCAGGACCGACCUUGUCUAUAUUUAUUAAUUUACUUAAUAAAUAAUUUUUUUUAACAGGAAUUCUUAAUAAAUAGUUAAAUUGCCUUUAAAAACUCUUAGUGAAGAGAAAAAUUAAUAUGAAAUCUAGACUAUCUAAUCUAUAUAUAAGCUAGAAAGUUGAUUGUUCUGGUUAAGUCCAAAACACCCUUACUUAAUUUGUUGCCAUGUGUCCCAAAUGAGGAUAAUUGAUAUCCAAAAAAUUGAUAACUGAACUAAAAGUACACACAAUUUGUCAAGUAACCAAGUCAUCUAAGCCAUAUUUCAUCUCGUGAGUGCAAAUGUUACUUUAUUGAAAGACAUAGUUGCAUUUUAACCAAGCCACAAGCCACUUAGUUACUUUUGAAAACAAAUGCAUGUGACAAUGUCAUUUAUUCUGCAAGUUGUGAUGAGUUAUCUUUUGGAGGCAAACUAUGAUAUUCAAAUUUCAAAAGUAAAAAAUAAAAUUUAUAUUUUACACGGGAUAAAUUCUAACUGAUAUGAAUUUUAACUAUCA